rnacentral:lncRNA from 1 species
GGUUUGGCCACCUCGCUAGCUCUCCUGUACACAGAGAUGGUAUGAUACGUUCCGUACUACAAUGAGGGCUCCUUCGGCCUCUGGCAAGGAAAUGCCCCCCAAACACCGUGCCUAUUGCUAUUUUUAAACGGGAGGCUGGAGAGGAAAACGCGGCCAGUAUCCUCCAAGGGAAAAGGAGGAGUGUUCUCUGCUGCUUCUGGGUCCUGACAGUCUUGAAAAGAUCCAGCUGCUGAACUGCCUUGUUAGGAACCACUGCUGUGGAACUGGUGCAGUCAUUUGGAGUAGCCAUGUUGCUCACAGCUUGAGGUGCAGCAGUCUGAACCAC